AUUCAUUGUUUGUGCUGAAGGAGACGAAUGUAGCAGCCUGACGGUUUGAUUUUGCCCUUUAUAUUCUAGUCUUUGCAGCGGUAGAUUUGUAAAGCU
rnacentral:lncRNA from 1 species